rnacentral:rRNA from 1 species
AACAGGAUUAGAUACCCUGGUAGUCCACGCCGUAAACGAUGUCGACUUGGAGGCUGUUCCCUUGAGGAGUGGCUUCCGGAGCUAACGCGUUAAGUCGACCGCCUGGGGAGUACGGCCGCAAGGUUAAAACUCAAAUGAAUUGACGGGGGCCCGCACAAGCGGUGGAGCAUGUGGUUUAAUUCGAUGCAACGCGAAGAACCUUACCUACUCUUGACAUCCAGAGAAUUUAGCAGAGAUGCUUUAGUGCCUUCGGGAACUCUGAGACAGGUGCUGCAUGGCUGUCGUCAGCUCGUGUUGUGAAAUGUUGGGUUAAGUCCCGCAACGAGCGCAACCCUUAUCCUUUGUUGCCAGCGCGUAAUGGCGGGAACUCAAAGGAGACUGCCGGUGAUAAACCGGAGGAAGGUGGGGAUGACGUCAAGUCAUCAUGGCCCUUACGAGUAGGGCUACACACGUGCUACAAUGGUGCAUACAAAGAGAAGCGACCUCGCGAGAGCAAGCGGACCUCAUAAAGUGCGUCGUAGUCCGGAUUGGAGUCUGCAACUCGACUCCAUGAAGUCGGAAUCGCUAGUAAUCGUAAAUCAGAAUGUUACGGUGAAUACGUUCCCGGGCCUUGUACACACCGCCCGUCACACCAUGGGAGUGGGUUGCAAAAGAAGUAGAUAGCUUAACCUUCGGGAGGGCGUUUACCACUUUGUGAUUCAUGACUGGGGUGAAGUCGUAACAAGGUAACCGUAGGGGAACCUGCGGCUGGAUCACCUCCUU